CAUGAUCAUACACAUUAUCAAAAGAACUCUAACCCUGAUUAGCCCUAAACUCAUUCUCUCUUCUUCUAAGGACAGCACCACGAAGAAUUUCCAAUCCCAGUUCCACCUCUUGGUCACUGCUUGGAAUGAUGGCUUCUGAUUAGGUAUUACAAGAAGAGGUCUUCAUUGCGACGCAAAAAUAGAAGCAAGAAAAGAGAGAGGGAGCUGGACAAGCGAAAGUUCAGGAGGCGGGGGGAAGUGAUGGUCAAGAAGUGACUGACCAAAGCUGAGAAGGACGCAGCCCAUCACCCCCUCUGUUCUUCGAUUUUCGUUAUUCUGUUAGAACAAGCUGAAAUCACAAGCAAAGGAGGAACUCUGUUAGAACAGCUGACCACAAGCCAAGAAAAGGGAAACUAACUGAGAAAGGAAGAGAGAGCUUGAACCGAGUGUGAUCAAGAGUGAACUCCAACGUGAUGGAGGAUUCUUACUUGGUCGCCGCCACUGGAGUUCUAUUCAUAGAGGUAUCAAAGGAGCAUGUGUUUAAGGACCCUACAGGAGAUGCUGCAAGAGGUGCUCGAGACUAGUCCUGAGACGAUAUUUGCAGACUUAUGCCUCGAUGGUAGAAUGAUUGUAGGAUAGAUGGUCUUUGUUCCUAGACUCUACUUUCUUUCACUUUUGUCGCAUUUUUGAGGUAUAGUACUUAAUAUUUUUUUGUUAGCCCAGGAACCAGUCUAGAGAUUUUCUACAUGAACUAGGUAUCUGGAAGUUGUGAGUUGUAUAUAUAUCUAUAUGUAUAUAUAUAUAUCUAAGUAUGUCGAGUU